GUGUGUGUGUGCGUGCGUGUGUGUUCAUGCGCCCACUGAACAUUUGCCAUAAGGAAGCACAGAGCACUGCAUUGUUUCUGCCUACGAGCGAGUGUGUGUGCAGCCACAGCGAUGGCAUGCGUGAAGGGGUGUGCUUUAAAGAUGGCAAGAGGAAAAGGUGCAACAGAAAAUUGGACCUUCCAAGCGUACUUGUGGAGAUGCAGGCUGAGGAGGAGCGGAACCGGCACCCAGCAUGAUGAGAACAUCUGGUUGCUCCUCAGCGAGGCAAGAGAGAAUGAAGCGGCCUUGCAGCGGGAGGAGAUGGUCCAGAAUGCUGCCUUCAACCAGUCAUUCCUGGGUGUACUGGGGCAGCUGGGGCAGGCAGUGGGCAGCCAGCGAGUCCACCUCCCAGAGACUUGAGAUUUAGUUGUAUAUAGUUUUACUUUUAGCCCUCCACUGUAGGAGAGGCCCACCACAG
ensembl:lncRNA